AACUCUACGUGGUGGAUCACUAGAGUCCUGGUUCGAUGAAGAUCGCAGCUAGCUGCGAUAAGUAGUGCGACUUGCAGAUACAAUGAGCACGAAAUCGUUGAAUGCACAUUGCGCCGGCGAGAAAUCGUCGGCAUGUAUGGAUUAGUGUUG
rnacentral:rRNA from 1 species